rnacentral:rRNA from 1 species
AGCGAACGCUGGCGGCAGGCCUAACACAUGCAAGUCGAACGAACCCUUCGGGGUUAGUGGCGGCCGGGUGGGUAACAGGAGGGAACGGGCCGGGAGGGUAGGAAUAGGUCAGGGAAACUUGCGCUAAGACCGAAUGUUCCCAUCGGGGGGAAGAUUUAUCGCCUUUAGAGCGGCCCGCGUCUGAUUAGUUAGUUGGUGAGGUAAAGGCUCACCAAGGCUACGAUCAGUAGCUGGUCUGCGAGGUUGACCAGCCACAUUGGGACUGAGACACGGCCCAAACUCCUACGGGAGGCAGCAGUGGGGAAUCUUGCGCAAUGGGCGAAAGCCUGACGCAGCCAUGCCGCGUGGAUGAUGAAGGUCUUAGGAUUGUAAAAUCCUUUCACCGGUGAAGAUAAUGACUGUAGCCGGAGAAGAAGCCCCGGCUAACUUCGUGCCAGCCGCCGCGGUAACAC